GAGAGGCGGGCGAGAGAGGGAAAGGGGAGGGGACGGCCCCGAAGACGACAUCGAGCCGGGCGCCCUCCGUCCUCUUCCCCUUCCCUCCCUCCCCCUUCCCUCCCUCGCCAGCCACUCGCCUCUGAGGCACAGGCAGAGGGCGCCUCAGCCAUGCCCGGUCCCUGCGGUCGCCGCCGCCGCCGCCGCUCAGCUCCGCGCGCUGAAAAGGCUCCCGCUCCCCGGCCCCUGCUGCUGCCGCUGCCCCUUCCAGACCCCCGGGGAAGCCAGGAGGAGGCCAAACCGCGCGGCUGCCCCACACCGGCUCCGCUCCUCGUGGGCUUAUAGUCCCCCUCCAGGGUGACUGAAGAGGAAGCUUUCUCUCCCCCCUCCCUUUUCCAUUGGCUCGGGAACUCUUGCAACCUCCCUGGAGCCCCGAGGGCGCCCGGUUCGGAUGUCCGGCUUCCUGGUGCUUUUUUUGCAAAAAAAUAUAUUUCACACACACUUUUCCCCCCCCCGCUUCAACCUGACAGACCCUAAGUAAACCCGUGGGCGAAAACGACCAGUCCGGCCAGCGCAGCGCCUGGCGGGCGAGCGGAGGGGCGGGAGGGCUCUGCGGCGCUUCCAGCUCGGGGCAGUUUGCGCGCUGGAAGUGGCCGGGCUUGGAGGGAACCCCACGGCGGCGGCCGACCCCCCGCUCCAGCCCGCCCGCCCCGCAGCCCUCUCUGCACGAUGCACUUGCUGGGCUCGCUCUCUCUGGGUUGCUAUCUGGCUGCUGCCGCCGUGGUGCUGCUGUUGGGAGCUCCUGAGCCGGCCGCUGCCUAUGAAUCCGGGCAGGGCUACUACGAGGAGGAGCCCGAUCUGGGGGAGGCGAAGGCUCAUGCAAGCAAAGAGCUGGAAGAACAGUUGCGAUCUGUAUCCAGUGUGGAUGAACUCAUGACAGUUCUUUAUCCAGAAUACUGGAAAAUGUUCAAAUGUCAGUUGAGAAAAGGGAGCUGGCAACAUAGUAGAGAACAAUCCAGUUUUGAUGCAAGAUCGGCAGAUUCAAAUCCAAUAAAAUUUGCUGCAGCACACUAUAAUACAGAGAUAUUGAAAAGUAUUGAUAAUGAGUGGAGAAAAACUCAAUGCAUGCCACGUGAGGUAUGUGUAGAUGUGGGGAAGGAAUUUGGAGCAACAACAAACACCUUCUUUAAACCUCCAUGUGUGUCCAUCUACAGAUGUGGAGGUUGCUGCAAUAGCGAGGGCCUGCAGUGUAUGAAUAUCAGCACAAGCUACAUCAGCAAAACGUUGUUUGAAAUAACCGUUCCUCUGUCUCAUGGUCCCAAACCCGUAACAAUUAGUUUUGCCAAUCAUACAUCCUGCCGAUGCAUGUCCAAACUGGAUGUCUACAGACAAGUUCAUUCCAUCAUUAGGCGCUCCUUGCCUCUGACACAACCACAGUGUCAUGUGGCAAACAAAACUUGUCCAAAAAGCUAUAUCUGGAAUAACCACAUUUGCAGAUGUUUGGCACAACAUGACUUCAGUUUCUCUUCAUACCUUGGGGAUACAGAGUCUACUGAAGGUUUCCAUGAUAUCUGUGGACCUAAUAAGGAGCUUGAUGAAGAAACGUGUCAGUGUGUCUGCAAAGGAGGAGUGAGACCGUCCAGCUGUGGAACCCACAAAGAAUUAGACAGGACAUCCUGUCAGUGCACAUGUAAAAAUAAACUGCUGCCUAUCUCAUGUGGACCCAACAAAGAUUUUGACGAAGACCGAUGUCACUGUGUAUGUAAAAAAACAUGUCCUAAACAUCAACCACUAAAUCCUGCAAAGUGUGUCUGUGAAUGUGUAGAAUCUCCAAACAAAUGCUUUUUGAAAGGAAAAAGAUUUCAUCAGCAAACAUGCAGUUGCUACAGACCACCAUGUACAGUCCGAACGAAACGCUGUGAGUCUGGAUUUUAUUACAGCGAAGAAGUGUGCCGUUGUGUUCCCAUAUAUUGGAAAAGACCACUUAUCAAUUAGUGAAGAAACCAUCCCCUGAUAUUUUGGUGUACAUUUUCCUGUUGUUGUUUUUUAAAAAAGACUUCUGACAUUCUGAACUCCCAGUGCACCAGAGACACUAAGAGAUAGACUUAUUUGUUCUCUUCCUGAAACUCACAAAAAGCAGAUGUAGGAAAAAUGGACUUUCUUUGCAUAAAGAAUUCAUGAAGGACUUGAUUGUUGCCAAUGACCAAACAACCUAGGUUUUCUUCCUUGUGAUUUUUUUUAAAGAUAAUGACUAUAUAAUUUAUUUCCAUAAAAAUAUUGUUCUGCAUUCCUGUUUAUAGCAGUAACAAUCGUUAAAUCUCACUGUGAUCAAUAUUUUUAUAUCAUGCAAAGUAUGUUUAAAAUAAAAUGAAAUUGUAUUAUAUGCUGCUAAGAAUGUUCAGUGUGCUAUCUCAUUACCCAGUCUUUAUAGCUGUAGUUCAAGAACAUGAGUAAUGAUUUUACAAUAUUCUUCUGGACUCUUAGCAAGGCUUCUUAGUCAGUAAGAGCAAGCGACUGGAUUGAAGGAGCUUCCUGUGAAAGAACAGCACUUUUUUUGUUUAAAAAUUAACACGUAUGUUCUUGGACCCUCAGAACAUGACAGUAUACUCAGUGAAUCUUCACAAUUCAGCUUGACAAUAGCUGGAGAGAGCUCACUAUUCGAAAGGAAUUCAGAACAACAUCACCUGAAACAGUACUCAUAACUGCAAAUUGAUAUAUAAGGUAUUUAUAUGUCAUUAUGAUUUCACUGGAAGCAAAAAAAAAAAGAAAGCUUUACAACAUUCUGACCUGGAGUUUUCUCUAUGUAUGAGUUGCAUAUUUUUGGAAAAGGUAAGUCUAGAAUCUCUGUCUCUUUUUCUUAUUUAGGAAAAUAGUGUAGAAUACUUUUUAAUCACACUGUUAAUCACACAUAGCUUUCUAUAUAUAUAGGCAACCACAAAACUGUGAUUUUGGGAAAGGGUGGGAUAAAAGUAUGAUAAAUAAAUAAAAUAAAUAAAUUUAUGGGUGGAAAACCUGAGAAAACAGUAGCAGCAUCUAAAAUAGUAUCAUAUCACUACAGAGAUGCAAAUAACUAUAUCCUAGUUACUUGUAUAAAUUAUGCCCAUGCAAAUGUUUUCUUAGAGGCCAUCAUUGCUUAACAUUGUCAGUGAAAGUCUAGCCCCUAAAAUGAAAAAAAAAAUCACACAACAAUUAAGAACUGGCAGGCAAUUGAGGCAAGAAUACACCAAAGUCAAUCCAGAAGAUCUAAUCAAAUGCCAUCAUGAAACAAAAUUUUGUUCAGCGGGCUCCUAAAGAUUGAGAGUCAGGAGUCAAGACGUACCUCCCUGAUGAGGUUGUUCCAUAACCAUGGAGCUGUCACUGAAAAGGCCCUUUCUCAUGUACUCACCAGGCAAUCUUCUUUGAUUUAUGGAACAGUCAAGAGAGCCUCUCCCUGUUACCUUAGUUUCAAGGCAGGAAUGUUAAUGGAGUGGACAGUUGUUCAAAUACCUCAGUUCCAAGCUGUGUAGGGCUUUAAAGGUCAAAACCAACACCUUUAAUUGGGCUCAGGAGUUGAUUGGAAGCCCAUGUAAUUGCUGUAGGAUUGUGGUCAGAUGAUCCUGGUAACUGACCCCAACUAGCAAUGUGAUCUCAGCAUUUUGUACAAGCUGCAGCUCCUAAACACUCUUCAAGGGUAGCCCCAAGUAGAGUGCAUUGCAGUACAAUCUAGAUAUAAGUAAGGCAAGGAUUACUGUGGCUAUACCCUUUUCAACAAAAAGAACUAAGUAGAAUUGUAACUUCAUCUGUCGCUGGAUCCUCUUUGUUUUAUGAUUCUCCAUUUGGAUCCUAGUGCCUACCAACAAAACUAGAUAGGGACUAAGACCCAAGCAUUCUAAAACAAAGAGGGUCAAGUAUAUGGCAGAUGAAAUAAUGAUUCUACUUAGUUCUUUCUGUUGAGAAGGGUAUAGGUGCACCAGACAAAACUGAGUGAAAACACUCUGAGCCACAGCAGGCAUCUGAUUUUCAAAAUGGACUGCUGUUAUCAAGCAGCACUCCAAAGUUACUUUUCUGCUAACCCAGAACUUUUCUGUUUUGUCAGGAUUACCUUUCAGCUUGUUCACCAUCACCCACCCUAUUCAAGCACCAGUUUAGAACAUCAGCAGCUUCCUCAGAAAGAUAGAGCUGAAUAUAAUUUGCAUAUUGGUGACAACACAGUCAAAACCUCCUGAUGACCUCUUCCAGUGGUUUCACGUAGGUUCAUGGGGGUAAGAUCAAACCCUGCAGAACCUCACAGUCCAACAGUCAUGGAGCACAUUAGGAAUCCCCCAGCACAACUUUCUGGGACCAGUCUCAAAGAUAGGAUUUGAACCACUAUAACCUGGUGCCUCUCAAUCCCAGUACUGAGAUUUGGUCCAGUAAGAUACCACUGUUGAUGUUAUCAAAGGCUGCUAAGAAAUCCAGCACAACUAGCAGGGUUAUACUACUCCUGCUGUCUGGCUCUCAGUAGAAGUAAUCAGUCCAGGCAACCAAAGCAGUUUCUGUUCCAAAUCCUGAUCUAAAGCCUGAUUGAAAGUCAGUCUCUUCCAAGAGCCCCUGAAGCUGAGAAGCAACAUCUUGGAAAAUUAAAGACUGGUGGGAAGUUCUCCAAGCAGAUGUCAAAGGUACAUCAUCUGGGCAUGUAUCCAUGCCAGCUUCUAACCAGAGCAGAUUUGCUGCCAGUGUGUUUUUUGUUUUGAUGAAUUCUUUGGAACUUGUAAGUUUUGCCAUUUAUGAGUUAAUCUGCAUCCUAAAGCAGAAUUAUACUCCUCUAAUUCCAAUUAAGUAAAUGUGUUGAGAAGGUUUUUACUCUGCUUAGGAUAGCAUUUUAGAUUAUUAAGAUUCAGUAUAGUACAUUGGGAGGAAAAAGGUUUUUAAAAGAGGUGUAACCUCUUUUUGGAUUUUAUUCCUGUAUUGAGUCACCCUAUCUUUUUUGCUUUAGGUGUGUGACUGCUCUUCAAGCUAAAUUAAUUAACAUCGUGUAGGUUAAUUUAUAGGUGGACUUUUGGGGAGAUUCAAAAUAAGGUCUCAAAGGAAAUUACCGGUAUAUGGGAAACUGCUAGUGUAAUCCUAGGCAGAGCUACUGCAGUCUAAAUCCUCAGAUUUCAAUGGGCAUAGAUUAGAGCAAUUCUGAGUAGGGUUGCACUGAACAUUAGCUAUAUCAAUAUUUGUUACACACUUUGCUUCUGAUGAUAGAUAAACAACAUAAGAAUCUUUAUCCAAGAAAUAACGCAAUAAAAUUCCAAAGAUAAAAAGCUAAAAUUAAAUAGGAUUGGUUAAGAAUAAAAUGUAAUGAAAGGUUACAAUCAUUAAUUUUUUUAAAAGAAAUUUUAAGACCACACUGGAGCAAUCCCAAACAGGUCUCCUCAGAAGAACGGCCCAUUUUAUUCAAUAGAUAAUUAUUCCUGUGAAAGUAUAUGUAGGUUUGCAACCAUAGAAACGUGAGUAAUAGAAAAUGCAGAUCUUUCAAUGAGACUGAAAAGUAUAGCAACUGAUUGUAUUGUCGAAGGCGUCCAUGCGGGAAUCACUGGGGUGUUGUGGGGUUCUGGACUGAAUGGCCAUUUUCCAGUAGCAUUUGC